rnacentral:rRNA from 1 species
UUGGAGGGCAAGUCUGGUGCCAGCAGCCGCGGUAAUUCCAGCUCCAAUAGCGUAUAUUAAAGUUGUUGCAGUUAAAAAGCUCGUAGUUGAAUUUCGGGAUUAGUACGCUGGUCGUGCCUUCGGUACGUACUGGUGUUACUGAUUCCUACCUUCUGACGAACCAUCAUGUCAUUUAUUUGGUGUGGUGGGGAAUCAGGACUGUUACUUUGAAAAAAUUAGAGUGUUUAAAGCAGGCUCGCGCUUGAAUACAUUAGCAUGGAAUAAUGAAAUAGGACGUUGAUCCUAUUUUGUUGGUUUCUAGGAUUGACGUAAUGAUUAAUAGGGAUAGUUGGGGGCAUUAGUAUUCAAUUGUCAGAGGUGAAAUUCUUGGAUUUAUUGAAGACUAACUACUGCGAAAGCAUUUGCCAAGGAUGUUUUCAUUAAUCAAGAACGAAAGUUAGGGGAUCGAAGACGAUCAGAUACCGUCGUAGUCUUAACCAUAAACUAUGCCGACUAGGGAUAGGAUGAUGUUAUUUUAAUGACUCAUUCGGCGCCUUACGGGAAAC